rnacentral:SRP_RNA from 1 species
UGUUGGGCCUCACGCAACGAGGUCUUGUAAACCCCGCCAGGUCCGGAAGGAAGCAACGGUAGCAAGUUUCCUUGGGUGCUGUGAGUUCCCCAACAAUUC